AAGCACAUGCUUGCUGACUGUAGACUUGAAUGAAUUUAGGAAUUUGUCUUGUAGGCAAGUGGUGACGUAUUUUAUGUCCUUGUUAAUAAUGUUGACUGUUUGUUAUAUAACUUAGGCCCAAUGUAAGAAAUGCUCUUGUCUGAAUUACAUAAACGGUUAAAUGGUACUGCAAAGAACUCAGGUUCUCUUCUAGGUGCGUUUAAGUUUGAAACAGUGAACAUUCCUAUAAUAUUUGGUGGUGCAGUGUUAGAAUAAACUUUGUGCAUUAAGCAUAAUAUACAUUUAGCUAUCACGUUCGGUAAAGCUAAUAUUUCUAGUUUAUUGAAAAUUUCCUUUGUGUGUGAAGGUGUACUAUUCAGAUCUUUGUCAUAAAAAUAGCGGUGGUAUUGGUUAUCUUUUAGAAUAUUCUAGUAUAAGUGUUAAAUAACCGUUAGGAUUAGUGUAAGAUUAGAUUAGAUUAGUGUAAUAGAUUAUGGAUGGUUUUGCGGAGGUAGACACGUGUUAGUCAGGUUAGCUAGUUAAGUUAGGUUAUUGGACAGACUGGGCCGCGCGGUGUCACGUGGUUCGCCAUGUGAUGUCACGUGACCCAGUGCUGUUAGUGUUUGCUUGCCCCGUUAGCGGCAGUUCUUCGAGGAGCAUUUAACGGUAAGGUUGUAAAAGUUACCGCUUCCGAGAACAGUGUAGCGUGGCCUUCGGGUCACUAGUCUUGGUUUAUUGAUCAAAUAGUAAUUUAUUGCCAUUCGAGACUUAUUGUUCGAACACCCUGUUUCCUUUGUUCUUACCUAACUUAGGACUCGAUCAAGUCAUUCGAUCUUUUAAAGUCAUACGGCACUCAGUAGCCAGUAAGAGCUAAAGUGAAAUUGCAGAGCUUGAGAGCUAGAGAUUUGCAGGCUGGAAAAUGUUAUGAAAACUUAUACAGCGAAAACAGUGGACAAGUUUGCCAGCUGACUAUUUUUUACAUAUUGGUGGAAAACAGCUGCAGUGAAAAACAGUAGACAAAUUUGCCAGCUCACGGUUUUAACAAAUUGUAACUACCAGUAAAGAUGUCUGACCAGAGCACUGAACUGUACAUAGCAGCUUGGCAGGGUAACAAAGAGGUUGUAAAAGAGCUGUUAACACACCGUGAUAUUAAUGUUAACAGGGAGGGUGAGUUAGGUACACCACUGUACAUAGCAGCUAAGGAGGGUAACAUAGAGGUUGUAAAAGAGCUGUUAACACACCGUGAUAUUAAUGUUAACAGGGAGGGUGAGUCAGGUACACCACUGUACAUAGCAGCCUUAAAGGGUCACACAGACGUUGUAAAAGAGCUGUUAACACACAUUAAUAUUAAUGUUAACUGGGAGGGUGUGUCAGGUACACCACUGUACAGAGCAGCUGAUUAUGGUAAAACAGAGGUUGUAAAAGAGCUGUUAACACACCGUGAUAUUGAUGUUAAUAAGGGGAGUAAGUGGGGUACACCACUGUACAUAGCAGCUUAUUAUGGUAAAACAGAGGUUGUAAAAGAGCUGUUAACACACCGUGAUAUUACUGUUAAUAAGGGGGAUAAGUCAAGUACACCACUGUACGUAGCAGCUUAUCAGGGUCACACAGAUGUUGUAAAACAGCUGUUAACACACCGUGAUAUUGCUGUUAACAAGGUGGGUAUGUUAGGCACACCACUGUACAGAGCAGCUGAGAAGGGUCGCACAGAGGUUGUAAAAGAGCUGUUAACACACCCUGAUAUUGAUGUUAAUAAGGGGGAUGAGUCAAGUACACCACUGUACGUAGCAGCUAAGCAGGGUAACAUAGAGGUUGUAAAAGAGCUGUUAACACACCGUGAUAUUGAUGUUAAUAAGGGGGUUGAGUUAGGUACACCACUGUACGUAGCAGCUGAGAAGGGUCACACAGACGUUGUAAAAGAGCUGUUAAAACAAAGUGAUAUUGAUGUGAACAAGGGGAGUAAGGUUGAUACACCACUGUGUGCAGCACUAGCUAGAGAGGGUAACAUAGAUGUUGUAAAAGAGCUACUAGCACACAUUAAUAUCGAUGUUAAGAAGGAGGGUAAGGAGGGUAACACUCCCCUCCUGAUAGCUGCUAGGAUGGGUUAUUUGGACAUUGUGGAACAAAUGUGCCAAGUUAAUGGCGUGGAUAAGAACCACGUUAAUAAUUUAGGUUAUACCCCCUUUCUUGCUGCUGCUGAGCAAGGUCAUGCUUAUAUAGUUAAAUACCUUCACCAAUUAGGCUGUGUCAAUAUGGAGCAAGUGGAUAACAACCAGGCAAUAUAUGUGUUCUGUAAAAGUUCCGUCUUCAAAACACUUGUUGACAUCUUCGUAGAUCCAGACGUUCAUGACACCCAGUUAUCAAGUUUAUUGAAUGUAUUGUACGUAAGUUUGCAGGCUAACAUCAAAUGUGACUGUGGUGAGGUCAAGUCUCCAGACAGUCCAAAGAAAUCCAAAGAAGCAAAGAAGUCUAAAGAAGCGAUCGAAAAAGACGCUUUUAAAAAGUUUCUUCGAGAAACAUUGGGAGAGGCUGUUUUCGAAAGAUUUUCCGCCCAAAUAAAUAGAAUUUCAGAUGAAGGAUAUGAAGGAGACAUUGACGCAAAACUUGUAGCAAAAAGUAUCGCUAAAACCUAUUUGACGGAGAACGAACAAGAAUCGAUCAAUGUUAAAGAGGAUCAAGGAUGCUGCGCUCCCAUAGAAAAUGUUAAAGAGGACAUUGAAAAGUGUCUUUUUUCUGCAUGCAUUAGGAGGUUUUCGCACAAGUGUAGUGUUCGGGGAAGCUUUGACUAUUUUACUUGCUUAUUUGCAAUAUUAAUUCAUAUUUCCGACAUUGCUUCUGAUGCUUAUGUAGGCUUCAAAACGCUAAAAGGUUUUUCUUCAAGAUUAGGGAUACUAAUGCUAGUCAUUGUUUUUGUGACUUUGUUCCACGAGAAUAUCCGCUCUUCAAUUUCAACAUUUGCUACUGGAAUAGAGCAACUCCGGACAAAUCUUGGAAAAGUCACAUUUACACCAGAAGAUUGGAAAGGUUCUGAACUAAACUAUGGGCAUGAAUUGUGGGUGCCAUUUAAAUAUCUAGGACGAUUCUUUUGGCCGUUCAAAGUAAAAGGACAUUCAUCAAUAUCAACAUCUGUUAGAGCCGUAUUUUUCAACGUACUCUCGAUAUUUUGGCUCCGUCCAGUUGUUGAUCGUCUGCAAUUUCUCACGCACUCACCUUCUAAAUUACGAGUCAUCUAUAGACAGCAGGCCAAAGACAAAUCUCUUGCCCAAUACUAUAUGAUGAUGGAACAGAUUCCUGAGCUCCUUAUCCAGUUUUACAUUUUUCAAAUCUACUUCAACAUUUUGAGGGAAGAUGGGGAUUUUAGAAGUUCUGGAUGUACGGACUAUCAUAGUUUCGAUUACGAUUCUGGGGAUUUUGAGUGUGUCGAAAACCUACUGAGAUUAAAGAUAUGCGCGUCAUGGGUGGAAGUAUAUUCAAUGAUAGUGCCGUUUGUGAAGAUUCCCAACAGCGUGAUCGGUUUGGAAGUGAUACUUCGGAAGCUCCAUCCAGCAACACCAAAGAUGUCUACUGUUGCUCUCGUGCUAUUGUAUAUAGCUUAUGUUCUGAUGAUUCCUUCUAGACUCUUCCUAAUUGCAGCAGUUAUGCACUCAGUCCCCAAUCACUUCUAUGUUGCUGGAUAUCUUGGAUUAUCAACUUUAGUUUGGUUUGUUGUUAAUAAGAUCACGAUAAGUAUAGCCAGCAAGAAAAUACCAACUUCAAAGGAUAAAGAAGAAGAACUUACGAUACUACGACGUAUUGGUGAUAUGUGGUCUCUCCUGCUAUUCAGUUUUAGAGAUGUUAUUGUCAUUUCGCUACGUCGACCGAAUGCAUAUCUUAUUUCCCCCUCAGAAGUAGGCUACACAACUUUAAGGACCUGGAAAGAGAUGAUGGUCAUAACAACCUACAUGUUUGUCGAGGGAGUUAUAGGCGCGGUUUAUGUUGAGAAUAACUACCCCUGCGGUAGGAAUACUGAUAUCUUCAAAUACCAGGGAUGGCUCUACCUAACACUACUUAUCAUUUCAACUACCCUCAUAACUUUGCUUUCUUAUAUUUUCCAGGUCAAUAAAACGAACUUUAAAAACUUCCGAAUGAAGUCAGCCUUUAUCUGUGGAUAUGGGUUAAUAAUGUGGUACAUGGCAGGUUCUUUAAUCUCCAGGACAAGAUUUAGCCUGAUGGAGCCGAAAUGGGUGAUCAUCGUAUUAGUGAUCCUGAUGAUUAUCUUUCUUGCAGCAGCUAUAUUGUUAAGACAGUUUAGCGAAGCAAAGCUUCCGAAAAAUGGGCAGUAUGAAGAACAAGCUUCCGCCUGCUGUCCAAUCUCUUAUUUCAAAAAGUCUUGCUCUAAAUCUAUCUGUUGCAGAUGUAAGACUACUUCAGAUGAACUUUCUUUGUCAACCCUGCCACUAUCAACUCAGACUCAUCGUUAUGAAACUGAAACGGAACGUAGCACACUUCUAGCAAACAUACAGGAAGAGGAAAUCAGUGAUAUUGAAGCUCAGAAUGUAGAAGCUGACAUUACACCAGCAGAAGACGAACACGGGGUAUUCCAAGACUCGCAUGUAUAGUUUAAAAGCUUUAUUGUGUAUUUUAUUAUUAUGUUUUAUUUAUUAUUUGUAAGUAUUAAAUGAUGCCUAUCGUAUCAUUCAAAAGUUUCAAGAACCCACCUUGAAGAAGACACAACAGAUCUAAUCUAAGGAUGAAAACCGGUGUUCACAACUUUAAUCAGAAGUGCUUUCUCUAUAAAGGAAACAAUUUCAUACUUUUCACGGAUACAAUGAUGAUAUUUUUAUCCUUUAACCUUAAUCUUAUUAUCAUUAAUUCUCUUUUACUUUCUUUAUCCUUCUCAACUUAACACUAUCCAACCCGACUCUUUAAAGACAAAAACCUCCGCAAGCAACUCAAGAAUCGCUACAUUUGAGUUCUCAAAUAACAGUCGAGGAUCAGUGAAAAGCAGUGAUCAGGAGCAGUUUACUUGUGGUUUAGUUGGUCGCUAUGGUAACCCUAGACACUCACGUUUAAUUGAUCCUGUUGAGACACCUGCACUAAUUUGGAGAUAGUAAUGUGACUGAAAGGCGACUGAAAGACACGUGAUGCCCAUAUAAGGACACUUAUCUUCCAAGUCACACCCACAUUAUCUCCUGUACUCCUUCACUGAUACUGCAGAGAAGAAAGCGGUGUUUAUAUCCCUUAUAUGGGCAUCAAGUGUUUGUGAGUCAAGAACUUCUUUUUGUGUUAGAGCUAACUUCACUUCCUCAUUAAACAAAAGGUUAUGAGCGCUGCCAACUUUAACAUCCUUCCAAAGAAUGCACUGCCACCCUUUCCACUCCUCUUCAUCAUAUCUUCCGUUCCUUCCUAAGAAGAUUGACCUCUGUGAAAAAGACAGUUGUUCCUGGUUCCAUCAUCUUAAGUAAAAUAUAUCUGCAUUCGCUGAUUGUGCGAUAUAUUCCGUCUGGUUACAUGAUAUUAAAAAUGUGGGGUAAAUCAAUAUUUAUGUCUAAGAAUUGAGUUGUCAGAACAAUGAACAUUUAGCUAUAGGUUUUUAUUGUAAGUCUAGCUGUGAGUUAAUAAAUUUUACUAAGUUUUUAAAUCCAGCUGCACUGCUAUAGUCAAUAGUCACCGUCCAGUAAAAAUGUAAACUUUUUAUUAAUAUCAUUCAGAUAUGAUAUUGUUCCGUAUAUCUACGGUUUCAGCUGUUUCAGCUAGGUUAUGUAACCUCAAUUAACUUUCGUCAAAUUACCUAAUUAAAUUAUUAUUGCCUAACUAUCCUAUAGGGUGUUAUUGAAUUCUUCCAAUACUAUUUUGCCUUAAAAUAACACUUUUAGUCUAUGUUAGAAAUUUUCUAACUGAUAUGUUUGUAAAAGUGUUAAACUGUUUUAUAUUUGACCGAUCAUAAUCAGACUAUAUCAGGGUAUUUUUAAACAGUUGUUUAUUAUUAAUUUUAUUUGUAAAGCUACUUUAAUUUUGCGGUUUUGAUAAUGUGGUUAGUCCACAGGGUUGUUAUAAAUUUAACAACUUCAACGUUGUUUUUAUGGCUUGGUAUAAUAACCUUCAGAACUAAUAUA